rnacentral:lncRNA from 1 species
AGGGUGGCCGUUGGGCACAGUGGCAGAGGACAGCUCCUGGGCUCCACCUUUUCCCUCACGCUGCCAGCACCAGGUUGGCGGCUUCUCGCUCAGCUGCCUUGGCAAGAGGGCAGGUCCAGGCUGGAGCCAGGUGUUGAGUGGCAGCAACCAGGAGGUGCUCCUGCCAGCCCUUCAUGCACUUUUUCUCACUUCUCCCUUCUUUUUGUAAAUAAUCACGCCUGCUUAGAUGCCUGGUGACUCUCAUCUUGCAGCAGGCCACACUGUUGGCCUCCAAUGAAGCCUUUAAAAAGCAGAUGGAGAGUGCUAGUGAGGCGGCCAAGAAGUACACGGAGAAUGACCAGCUCAAGAAGUGAGCUGCUGUUGACGGAGGCAAGUUGGAUGUCGGGAAUGCUGAGGUGAAGUUGGAGGAAGAGAACAGGAGCCUGAAGGCUGAGCUGCAGAAGCUAAAGGAUGAGCUGGCCAGCACUAAGCAAAGAGCUGCACCAGGAACUCACAGAGGAUCAGGGAGAAUUCUGAGAACAUGCUACUGUGGUGCUGCCUAGAGAGGAAGGAUAAAUGAUGACAAGUACAUCUCUGAGUAACGUAUGGGCACUUGUUCAUGAAAACUGUUUUUCUGAAAGCUUGUGAAGGUCUUGAAAUACUCGCUAUCAGUUGAGGACAAACAUUUACACCCUCCUUCCACAGGGAGUUCAAGCAGGCUGGAUGGGUCCAUCUAUGGAUGAUCUUCCCCAGCCCCUUCCUCUUCCCAGCUCAUCCCUGGCUCUCUGUGUGAACAGGUCUCAUCAGUGGAAUGUGGUUGAUGAAGUGAGGUCUUCAAUUUUCUCAUCUACUGUGUGGUCAUGUUAUUUUCCUCAUCUGAGGCUUAAAAACUCACCUGCAUGCAGCACAUGACAGCUUAAAAUCUCUUGUGAACAAAACAGUAACAAAGACACCCACCAGCGUUGAGCAUCCCGUGUUGAUGACAGCGACCACCAGGGGUCAACGUCCUCUUCACAAUCCUGUGUCAGAGCAUCACUUGACUGAUUUCAUUAGCAACUUCCCAGGAGAAUCAGCUUACAAAAUACUUGUCCCAUUUUCCAUGCAGAUGUAACCCAUCUAUUUUACUGAAGAAAUGGGAAGAGCUGAAUGCUGAAUACACUGAAUGUCUGCAGGUUGUGCAAGUUUGUGACUUUAUCACUUUCUAAUUUCUGAUCUGUGUGGACCACUCUACAGAUUUUUCUCACUGGUGUGAUCAGCCUUCUGGAUGUCAAAUAUAAUAGACUUUC